UGGGCGGUGCGGAGGGCGGUGUCCGGGAGCAGAGCGGGACAUGGCCGAGGCGGGGCCCGCAGGGGUGCGCGGCGGGAGUGAGGGGUCGCGGCUGGAGGAGGUGGAGAUGCAGAUCGGCGAUGCCGCCUUCUCGCUGGCGAAGAUCCUGGAGGCGACGUCGGCCGUGUCGGCCCAGGUGGAGGAGCUCGCCACCAAGUGCUCGGAGAACGCCCGGUUCCUCAGAACAUGGCGGGAUCUGCUGAGGGAGGGCUCCCCGUGAGCCCGGAGGUCUCUCAGAAAUACCUGAUGGCUCGUAUGGAUGUUGUAUGUAAGUCACCGAGUAGAAUAACUUUGUUUAGGGAAUCACUUUUGACUUCUAGACUCUUCCGUUGCAGUUCAAGCAAUCUCACGCUUGAAAUACUUUCCCCCUCCCCGCUUUCUUUCUUCCUCUCGGUUAUGCGUUGGGUGCAAAGUUAGUAUGUGUGGUACAUUCAACACUCCUUACUGGUAGGGAAGUGGUGGUGUCAGCCCUCCUUUUUGAGAGCUGUCACCAGUGUAAACCCUGCCAACUCCAGAGAAACUCGCUGAAGUAACUUCAGUUUUUCCUCUACGCACACUUUUUCUUCGUGUCCAGGAUGGGAUAAUAUGUCAAGUUGCGGCUCGUUUACAAGCUUUAGAUAAGCCCUAUAUCCCUUACUAUUUUUAGCAGUAUUGCAAUAUGUUUCUAUAAAGCUACAGAUAUUUUUCAAGAUGUUUCAUUACACUAUCCUUUGUUGUAAUAAAGUGCCUUAUGGUGGACCAUGUAUCUCUGCCUCAUAGAAGUUAACAGCAUUGUUUGCUGAUAGGAUGGGUUAUUUUGAACUGUAAGUAAAAGCUUCCAUCAGUUGGAAAAGAAUCUGUGAAAUGUAUUGUCCAGGAAACAUGUUACAGGUUUUUCAGUAUGUAGUCUGAUUUUUUUUAUCUUUGUCUUAAGCAAUUACUAGUUAGUCUAGAGCUUACUGUUAACAGAACCUUUUGGUCUGCAAGAUUGCUAAUCUGUAAUAAAGACCUGUACUGAAACUCCUGUGCCUUUACCAGAGCACUGUGAAAAGAGUAAUGCUGAAAUGCAAUGGCAGGCUGCAGGAGAACAUGGCUCUACCAUGACUUACUAGUCAGCCUUAUUUUUACUGGUAGAAUGACUUUUUAAAACACAAACUGUAGUUUUCUUAGCAAAGCAAUGAAGAUGUUCCUAAAAAUCCAAAAUGAAUAUUCUUGUGUUACUUGUAGAAACAAAUAUGACAUUGAAUAUAUCCAUAAUCAAGUUGAGUGAAAAACAGAGGUGAUGGUGAGGACAGACACCCUUCCAGAUCUCACUGGAAGCAGUUACAGUCGUUGACAAGGCUUGGCCCCUCAGAGUGCACAGGUUCUGUUAAACUGAGUUCUAAUUGCCCCAGUGAAAGGCAAUCCACGUGGCAGCAUUUCACUUAGCUGUUUUUAACCCCACAUCCCAAAAUGUUGGAAAAUAAAUAAUUUUCAGCAUAUUCAGCAGAUAAUCUUUUAUUUCAACAAAACAUACAGUAGUGGAAACCAGAUGCCUAACAAUCUCUGCAUUCAAGCUAAUCCAAACUUCUGUAAACAGUUGAAGUGUGAAGUGUCACACUUCUUUAAAUUCUACUUCUUACACUGUUAAGAAGUAAAGUGCAAACAAUGGAAGUAUCUUUUAACUUCAUUUUAAAAUGCUUCUAAUCAUCGAUGCAAAACCACAGCAUUCUUUUUAUCUUUGUGGGCUUCUAGGCCAUCGGACUGUUAGUAUGGUACUGAAAACAGAAGGGAAGUUGUAGCAAUUCAUAACGGAAAAGAUUCUCUUCAGGUGAGAUGUUUUAAAUGACAGCUCGUGGGGGUUUUUUUCCAUGCUCCUGGCCUCUGAGACGAAAAAACCAACGUGGCUUCUCCUUCUGGUCUAAGAUGAGUUGUCAAAAUAUCAGGUACCAUUGUGAGAUGGUGAAAUUAUUAUUGUGUUAGUUCUACUUGCAGACAUAUACAUUGCUCCCUCUUCUCCCUGCGUUGGUUCACAUGGGCCCAGGUGCCACACCUCCCUCCUUUUUCCUCUUUUCUGUAAAGCCGUAAGCCCACAGAUGUGAAGCUAACAGUGGAGAUGUCACCGUGAAGAUUCAAAAUGUAUUUACGUGUAUUAGUUUAUUCUUGUUGACUGCGUGGUCACCGAAGCAUCAGAAGAGUCUGUACAAAGCAUGGGCUUCAUUACUUUUGGUGUCAUUUCAUGCAUUGGCCACAUUUCUACCCAAAUAAAUGAUGGACCAUACGUUUUCUGACCA